UACGUAGGGUGCGAGCGUUACUCGGAAUUACUGGGCGUAAAGAGUGCGUAGGCGGUUCGUUAUGUCUGCUGUGAAAGCCCCGGGCUUAACCCGGGAAUGGCAGUGGAAACUGGCGGGCUUGAGUGUGGCAGAGGGGGGUGGAAUUCCGUGUGUAGCAGUGAAAUGCGUAGAGAUGCGGAGGAACACCGAUGGCGAAGGCAGCCCCCUGGGCUAACACUGACGCUGAGAAGCGAAAGCAUGGGUAGCAAACAGG
rnacentral:rRNA from 1 species